rnacentral:rRNA from 1 species
GACGAACGCUGGCGGCGUGCCUAACACAUGCAAGUCGAGCGAAUGAAGUUCCCUCGGGAAUGGAUUUAGCGGCGGACGGGUGAGUAACACGUGGGCAACCUGCCUCAUAGAGGGGAAUAGCCUUCCGAAAGGGAGAUUAAUACCGCAUAAGAUUGUAGUACCGCAUGAUACAGCAAUUAAAGGAGCAAUCCGCUAUGAGAUGGGCCCGCGGCGGAUUAGCGAGUUGGUGAGGGAACGGCUCACCAAGGCGACGAGGCGUAGCCGAACUGAGAGGGUCAUCGGCCACAUUGUUACUGAGACACGGCCCAGACUCCUGCAGGAGGCAGCAGUGGGGAAUAUUGCACAAUGGGAGAAACCCUGAUGCAGCAACGCCGCGUGGGUGAUGACGGCCUUCGGGUUGUAAAGCUCUGUCUUCAGGGACGAUAAUGACGGUACCUGAGAAGAAGCCCCGGCUAACUUCGUGCCAGCCGCCGCAGUAAGAC